UGUGAAUCCAGCUGGUUCAAGGCUGCAGGCCCACUUCCCUGGGCAGGUUUUUCCAUUUCAGGGAGUGGGGAAAGUGGCCCUAAACCAUCAAAAUGGAUUAUACAU
ensembl:miRNA